ACAUGGGUAGAGGAAAUGGUAGACACGCGAGACUCAAAAUCUCGUGCUAAAGAGCGUGGAGGUUCGAGUCCUCUUCAAGGCA
rnacentral:tRNA from 1 species